rnacentral:tRNA from 2 species
GCCGGAGUGGCGGAAUUGGCAGACGCGCUGUCUUGAGGGGGCAGUGCCCGAAAGGGCGUGCGGGUUCGACUCCCGCCUCCGGCACCA